rnacentral:rRNA from 1 species
GACGAACGCUGGCGGCGUGCCUAAUACAUGCAAGUCGAGCGAAGAUUUUCUGGUGCUUGCACUAGAAAAACUUAGCGGCGAACGGGUGAGAAACACGUAAAGAACCUGCCUCAUAGACUGGGACAACUAUUGGAAACGAUAGCUAAUACCAGAUAACAGCAUUACAUGCAUGGUUGAUGUUUAAAAGUUGGUUUUGCUAACACUAUGAGAUGGCUUUGCGUUGCAUUAGCUAGUUGGUGAGGUAAAGGCCUACCACGGCGACGAUGCAUAGCCGACCUGGGAGGGGGAUCGGCCACACUGGGACUGGGCCACGGCCCAGACUCCUACGGGAGGCAGCAGUAGGGAAUCUUCCGCAAGGGGCGAAAGCCUGACGGAGCAACGCCGCGUGAGUGAAAAAGGAUUUCGGUUCGUAAAGCCCGGUUGUUAGGGAAAAAUGAUUUUGGAGUGACAAUACACAGUAGUGACGGUACCUAACCAGAAAGCCACGGCUAACUACGUG